rnacentral:rRNA from 1 species
AUGCAAGUCGUACGAUGCACUGUAGCAAUAUGGUGCAUAGUGGCGGACGGGUGAGUAAUACAUGAGUAAUGUACCCCGGGCACAGGAAUAGCGUCGGAACCCGCAAGGGUUCCUUUGCGAAAGUGACGGUAAUACCUGGUGACGUCCACGAGAGGUUAGCUCUUGUGGACCAUAGGGUGGGGACCUUCGGGCCUAUCGGCCUGGGUUCAGCUCAUGUCCUAUCAGCUAGUUGGUGAGGUAACGGCCCACCAAGGCAACGACGGGUAGCCGGUCUGAGAGGAUGGUCGGCCACAUCGGAACUGAGACACUGUCCGGACACCUACGGGUGGCUGCAGUAACGAAUAAUCCGCAAUGGGCGAAAGCCUGACGGUGCGACGCCGCGUGCAGGAGGAAGUCCUUCGGGAUGUAAACUGCUUUUAGGGGAACGAAAACAAAGCGGGCUAAUACCCCGUGAGUUGAUCUACCCCAGAAAAAGCCUCGGCUAACUCUGUGCCAGCAGCCGCGGUAAUACAGAGGAGGCAAGCGUUGUUCGGAAUCACUGGGCUUAAAGCGCGUGUAGGCGGCUCGGCAAGUAUUCUGUGAAAUCUCCCGGCUCAAUCGGGAAACUGCAGGGUAUACUGCCGGGCUUGAGGCAGGUAGGGGCCACUGGAACUCUAGGUGGAACGGUGAAAUGUGUAGAUAUCUAGAGGAACGCCCGCGGCGAAAGCGGGUGGCUGGGCCUGUCCUGACGCUGAGACGCGAAAGCGUGGGGAGCAAACGGGAUUAGAUACCCCGGUAGUCCACGCCCUAAACGAUGCGCACUAGAUUCGAGAACCUCUGACGGUGCUCGGGUCGAAGCAAAAGUGUUAAGUGCGCCGCCUGGGGAGUACGGCCGCAAGGCUAAAACUCAAAGGAAUUGACGGGGGCUCACACAAGCGGUGGAGCAUGUGGCUCAAUUCGAAGCAACGCGAAGAACCUUACCCGGGUUUGACAUGCACGGAUUAGUUCCAUGAAAGUGGAAUGACGCGGCUUGCCGUGGAACGUGCACAGGUGCUGCAUGGCUGUCGUCAGCUCGUGUCGUGAGAUGUCGGGUUAAGUCCCAUAACGAGCGAAACCCUUGUCGUUAGUUGCCAGCGGGUCAUGCCGGGCACUCUAACGAGACUGCCGGUGUUAAACCGGAGGAAGGUGGGGACGACGUCAAGUCAUCAUGGCCUUUAUGCCCGGGGCUGCACACGUGCUACAAUGGGGUGUUACAAAGCGACCCGAAACCGCAAGGUCGAGGAAAUCGCAGAAACACCCCCCAGUUCAGAUUGCGGGCUGCAAUUCGCCCGCAUGAAGUUGGAAUCGCUAGUAAUCGCGUAUCAGCUAUGACGCGGUGAUAUGUUCCUGAGCAUGCACUCACCG